rnacentral:sRNA from 1 species
GUGCGGCCCGUCCCUAGGGCUGGGUUAAGGGCCGCGGAUGUGGCAGUUCUCAGGCCUCUUGGGAUCGCCUCAAGAAGCCCCCUCACGAGUGUCUCGAUUUCCUGUCAGCCAACAAAGGGCCGUUCGCCUUUCAUGGCCUCCACAGCAGCGUUGCCGUG